rnacentral:lncRNA from 1 species
UUUUUUUUUUUUUUUUUUCGGUUUACUCUGCCUUCAUCCUGUCGCUAUUCUGGUCCCGACUGCCCCAGUCCUGGAUUACUCCAUAGUUUCUUUUUCUGAAUACCGUUUUCCUUCCUCUGGUCUGUUUUGGUUGUUACUUACCAGACUGAUCUUUCAGAGGCAUUGUUUUAUCUUGUUUCCCCUGGCCCUGAAAUCUCUAAUGGCUCCAUUGUCUGCUCUCUCAAAGGCCAGCCCUCAUGUCUGACCUCCUUGUCCUUAGCAGAUUCAGCGACUAAAAGAAAUAAUACAAGGUCUGCCAUACACAACUUAAAAUAUUCAAGUUGCAAUGUUUUAAAAACACUCGUGUGAAUGCACACACAUUUAGUCCUAGCACUUGAGAGGCUGAGACAGAAGGAACAGGCGUUUACCUGGACUACAUAUUACACUACACCCAACUACUUUUGCUAGUAUUUUUUUUUUAGAGAUUUAUUUUAUUCUUUAAUUACAUAUAUGUGGGUACGUGCAUGUGAGUACAUAAGUCCUCAGAGGCAGAGGUCUAGAAUCCUCUGGAGGUGGAGUUAAAGAUGGUUGUGAGCCACCCUGCACUGGUGUUGAAUCCAACUUGUAUCCGCUACAAAACCAGGAUGUAAUCCUAACUGCUCAGUCACUUCUUUCACCCCUUUAUUAGUUCAUUUUAACUGAAUAUGUCUCAAAGAGUAUCAUUAAGUAUAAUCAAUAUAAAACAAGUAGCAAAAUUGUAUAUGCUAUUUGGGGGAGGAGUCUAUAUGCUCAAGCUCUCAUGCAUAGAGCUAGGGAAAUAAUUCUGUGAGAGACCUUGCCUAGCAUGGAAAGAGCCCUAGGUUCUGUCCUCAGCAUCACGAAAAAAAGUGUCUACAUGUUUUCGGUUCUUAUAUCAUAUCUUCAUUUUGACUACCCACAUUUCAAGUGUUUAAUAGUCACAUGUUGCUCUACUUGUUAUUGCUGUCACUUCCAAAAAACAAACAAAUCUCACUUCUUCCUUGCUUGUUCAAAUAAAAUAGAAUGACAGGGGACCUAUUUGGUUGGGUUAUUCUAAGCCACUAUGUGAAGUGUGAACAUACUUUAUAAGUUUAAUUCUGCAAGAAUGUGUGGAAGAUACUGUCUCAUAGGAGAGUAGAAUGUCUUGGAAGUAGAAUAAUUUGAAAGAAAUAACCUGGCUCUGAGUACAGCUCGGUGGUAAAAUGCUUGCCUUGAGGCCAGAGGUCAGUCCUCAGUCCAGAUAAAAGAAACUCUUCUGCAUUAGUGGCUGGGACUGUAGCUCAGUGGUAGAGUGUGUGCUUAGGAUUCAAGAGACCAGAAAUUGAAUAUCUGUACUUCUAAAAAGGAAAAGCACAUUAACUGUCUUGAAUUAGACUGUGAAAACUGUAACCUCACACAAUGAAUGGAAAUUAUUAACAUGUCCUUUUGCCUACUGUUUCAUCAUAAUGGUUUUUAGGAAGAAAUUAGUUACAUCUUAUUAAUGUAACCUUAUUAUUUUCUAAUUUUUUUGGCUUUUUGAGACAGGGUUUUCUCUCUGUGGUCCUGGCUGUCAUGGAACUCACUCUGUAGACCUGGUUGGCUUUGAAUGCAGAGAUCCACCUACCCCUGACUUCCAAGUGCUGGGUUUAAAGGCCCACACCACUAUUGUCUGGGUGGUUCUUUUUUUUUUUUUAAUUCUAUCUCCCAGUCCUCCUUCCUUAUGGAAAAUGGAAAUAGGGUCAUUUACUUUCUUUCUUAAAAUAGGAUCCAGGCUGCUAUCAAGAAAACCCACACCCCAUUGUACUCAAGGAUAGAAUGACUUAAAACUUUUUCAUGUUGUCCAAUUCAAUAUAAAGGCUAAGAAUCUACCUAAAAGCACCAGAUAUUUAGAUGUUGAAACCAUUUGUAAAAUGUUUUCAAGCUGUGCUAUUAAAGGACAUUUUAAGGAGUAAGUGUCCUGACAAAUUGAUGGUUAAGACUGGUAAAACCCAGGAUGCACGCAGUCCUUUAAACACCAAUGAGUUAGCCCUCUCUGACCCAGUGCCUUGUGCAUGCUAGGCAAACACUACCACUGUGCUACACCUCCAUAGAUUUCUUCUCCUAGUUUGUUUCUGUCCGGCUGCUUUUGUGAAAAGAUCUCAGUGUGUAGAUUCAACUGGUCCUGGUGUUGUUCAGGCUGCCUUUAAGCUGUCAGUCCUUCUGCCUCAGUUUGCUAAGUGCUGGAUUUCAGCUGUGCACCACCAUGCUCAGCUGCCCGUUAAACAUUAUGAAUAUUUAUUGGUUUAUUUAUGUAUUUACUGUGUGCAUGUGGUGGGUGCGAGCAUGCCCCAGAGCACGUGUGGAGGUCAGAGGCCAAUGUUCAGGAGGCGUCUUUCUCUUUCCGAUACAUGGAUCUUAGGGCUGGAACUCAGGUCAAUUUAUGUAUCCAUUUGUGUGUGUGUGCAUCCGUGUGUAUGGUCAUGUGAUCCAUGGUGCACAUAUUCAGGUUAGAGGGCAAUUUAUGACAGUCAAUUCUCUCUGAUAUUGUGGGUCCCAGGGAUUGAAUUCAAAUUGUCAGACUUGAUGGCACACACUCUUACUCUCUGAGUCAUCUUGCCCCCUCCUUUUGAGAUAGAGGUCAGGCUGGCUAGCCUUCAGUUUUAUUUGGAGACAGGCUGGGCUGUCUCUACCGUAUGAGCGCUGUGUUUACAAAAAAGGUGCUACCACACUUUAAAAAUAGUUUGUUCUUUAAAUUCUUUUCUUUAAAAAGAUUUAUUUAUUAUUUAUAUGUAAGUAUACUGUAGCUGUCUUCAGACACACCAGUAGAGGGCGUCAGAUGUUAUUAUGGAUGGUUGUAAGCUACCAUGUGGUUGCUGGGAUUUGAACUCAGAACCUUCGGAAGAACAGUCAGUGCUCUUAACCGCUGAGCCAUUUCUUCAGCCCCCUGUUCUUUAAAUUGUUAAACCCUUCUUGAUUCUUUGUGAAUUUCGCAUCAUGCACCUGAAUCCCACUUGUCUCCCCGUUCCUCCAUAGCCACCUGAUACCCUUGCAACCUCCCCCAAAGAAAACAAAAUAAAUGUUAAAAUAAAUAU